rfam:Schistosoma curassoni strain Dakar, Senegal genome assembly, scaffold: SCTD_scaffold0003929
GAAUUGCUGAGGAGUCUCACAAUAGGACGAAACGUUCAUCCAAUGC